rnacentral:lncRNA from 1 species
GUGAUGGCCUCUCUAUCCAUCGCUCAAGAGUUUGUGGGUCGAACCUGUAUGUCUGUCGCACAAGAGUUUGUGGGUCGAACCCAUAUGUCCUUUGUGCAAGAGUUUGGGGGUUGAACCCCAGUUUCAUCGCUCGAUACAUGCAAUGACCACCAGUUCCAUCGCUCAAUCUUCAUUUUGAGCAAUAAAGAGUUUCCCUCCGUCGCGCAAUGCCUAAUGUCAGGAGAUUUGCGCGACGCUCUCUUCGUCGCCCAAUAUUUCCGGCAACGGUUUUGACCUUUGUGCGACAAUUUCCCUUCGUCGCUCAAGAAGUUGUUCCUAGUAGUGUGGGACAAUGAAAUCCAAAUAUGGAAAAGAGUCAACUUAUUGCCAGAUUUGUACCUUUCUAUUUAAUUUUCUAUCUAUUCCGCCAUCUGAUCUCCAUCAAGAGACAAGUGCCGCUAGCUAGACUACGACCUAGGGCAUCCUGAUACACAAUCAUGUAUUAUAUAUCACUUGAAAAUGGGUUUGAAGGGCAAGAUGAUGAUGAUUAUUAUUGACAAUUAAUUCAUUAGGGAUGAUAACUCAGAAAAUGACACUUAGAGAAUUUGGGGACUAAAUAUAAGAAAUUAUAGUAACAAAAUUUAUAUAUGGAUUUUCACCGUAAGAGAUUAAAAACGUUUCAACUCCAGAUCCCUUCUUAACUUUUAAUCCUUCAACAUUCCAAAUGAUUGUAGACUUAUAGUCCAUGGGGAAGUAUGGAUGGAGAAUCUAUGAGGAUGUGGUUCAUGUGAAGGUAAAAAAGUCCCACAUCGGUGAAGAACAUGUUCAUUUGAAUAACAUCUAUAGCAUGCAUUU